AUAUAAUACAAACUACUGUUAGAAAACGAAUGCAAACCUGUUUGUGAAAAUUUACUGCCCUCAAAGUGACUGUAUAUAUUUUGACCAUGGCAACUGAUGUCUGUGAUUUUUUUCCCUCCACGGCUUUUAAACAGUUAACAUCACCUGCUGCUGUUUGUGAUGAAACCCCACAGGAAAUGAAUGCCAAAGGAACAAGGAUAGGAAGAAAAUAUGAUAACAGAAGCUCAUCAGCAGACUAUUCAUGAUAAGAAGAUAUCAUUUGGCUGAAAGAAUGAAGAGAAAAAUAGAUGGACUCUAUGGUUUAGGUGACUGCAAAUGGAAUACCUUUCACCUCUAAUUGACUGACUGAAAUGGAGGCAGUCUCCAUAGAGACUGAAAUUCUUCCCUGAGAGAUGGCAGUUAGGUAGAGAGACUGCAGAUGGAGGGUUGCAUCUCCAUUCCUAAGAGAGGGGAAGUAUGACUUUAGGACUAGAUUCACUGGUUUCCAUAGCUGAUCUGAGCUGUUAUCAGUCCCCCGUAUUUUAAAAUAUAGUGCUUCUGAAAGAAUGGUGAUUUAAAGAAAUAUAACUAAUUAUGGUAAGACAUUAAGAAAUGGGGAAGUGUUUGAGUCAAUCUUGUGCUUAAACUACUGCUGAAGCUAUUAAGCUUCAUGUUUUCUGUAUGACUAUGCUCUGAAAUCCUGUAAUUAUAUUGUCAUAAAUAAAUGUUAUGAUUGAAAGAAUCAAGUAC
rnacentral:lncRNA from 1 species